rnacentral:rRNA from 1 species
GAUGAACGCUGGCGGCGUGCCUAAUACAUGCAAGUCGAGCGAACGGACGAGAAGCUUGCUUUUCUGAUGUUAGCGGCGGACGGGUGAGUAACACGUGUAUAACCUACUUAUAAGACUGGUAUAACUUCGGGAAUCCGGAUCUAACACCGUAUAAUAUUUUGAACCGCAUGGUUCAAAAGUGAAAGACGGUCUUUCUGUCACUUAUAGAUGGAUCCGCGCUGCAUUAGCUAGUUGGUAAGGUAACGGCUUACCAAGGCAACGAUGCAUAGCCGAAGUGGGAGGGUGGUCGGCCACACUGGAACGUAGCCAGGGUCCAGGCGCCUGCGGGAGGCAGCAGUAGGGAAUCUUCCGCAAAGGGGGAGAGCCUGACGGAGCAACGCCGCGUGAGUGAUGAAGGUGUUGGGAUCGUAAAACCGUGUUAUUAGGGAAGAACAGAUGUGUAAGGAACUGUAGACAUCUUGACGGUACCUAAUCAGAAAGCCACGGCUAACUACGUG